UGCGCGCCGCAAUGCAGGAGCGGCCGGCGAGCGGCGACGCGGCCCGCUGCCACUCUCAGUGACGGACGGAAUACGGACGCCGUCGCAUACCGCAUCGCGUCCCCGGACACUCAGCCACACCAAAACACUCCCACAACCUCCAAAAACCUCACAACCCACCGUUCUCGACCAAACGGCACCGUGUGUCAAAUAUCCGUGUUUAACAAAUUAACAAUCGAUGUUUCCGGUGUACACCAUGUGCAUUCAAGAACACAGCAAUCCCGGCUCCAGUUAUGCAAUACCUGCCAGGCUGCUAGCAAUUUGCCGGAAACCAACACCCAAUGCCGGAAAGAAAAUACCUAGUUAUGGCCAGAGAAGAUGAAGAACUGAAAUAGAUGAAUAGAAGAUUCACUACUGGAACGUCGUCUCCAUCUGCUUGACAUCCCAAUAACUCCACGGCUGGGACUGGACUUAAAUCUAAGCGUUCAGGGGUUCUACACCCCGUCUGCUGGACUAUUGCACAUCUAAUAAGACUGUACUACCCCUGUAGCCAAGCGGCACGUCGAUUCUCUUUUUACAAUCGCAAACGCUUCGAAAACUAGAGAAAUGUA